AGUGGCUACUAGCUCUAUCAGGGUCAAAAUCCAAUAUCAAUAGAGCUUCAGGUGUUGUGGUUCUGAGCACAUUGGUCGCUCUCUGUGGUUCCUUCAGCUAUGGAUGUGCUAAUGAUGAAUUUGAUUUACAGAGCAUGAAAAUGUUGAAAGUAAGAGCUGCCCUUGAGGAAAAAUUGAAGCAGAAGGGUAUUUUCAAUUCCAUCACUCCAAGAAUUAAUAGACCCUAGAAACAUCUGAAACCAUUAAAUGGGAAGCUGAAUCGUAUGAUGAUUUUGAUGAUGACCCUGUAAAUGCUGAAGGCGCUAACCAGGCUCAUGCAAGUUCAUUGACUGCAAGUAAAGUUUCCCAAUUUGUUGCUGCUAAUCGACAUAAGUCAAAGGAUUCACAUGAUUCAGAAAACAUGAAUGUGGUGAUUCAGAAAACAUGAAUGUGGUAUUUCAGAGAACAUGACCUUGAAACUUAAUGGCGGCGGCAAACAUGAACUGCAUGAGAGAACAUUAGUAUUGAAGGAUUGAAGUCUAUUACAUCUUAGCCCAAGUCAAUGUAUCUUGCAGUUGGAUUUUAGAACGCGUGCUCUACUUGAAGAUUUUAUAAUAGGACAGGGUUAUACCAGUGGUUGCUUUGAAUAUAGCUAUUUGUUCAGAUUCCAUGGCUCAUGGAAAUAAAAGAUCAAGGCUUUUGAGUAGCAGAUGAUUAGAUACUUAAAGCCAUGAAGGUUUAGCUUGUCACCAUCAAACACUAGAGAAAAACCACCAGUUUGAUAGUUGAUAAGCAAUAUGCUUGCAAGACCCUGAACCAACCACCACAACUAAGCAAUAUGCGUGCAA